AGUGAACGCUGGCGGUAGGCCUAACACAUGCAAGUCGAACGGCAGCACAGUAAGAGCUUGCUCUUACGGGUGGCGAGUGGCGGACGGGUGAGGAAUACAUCGGAAUCUACUUUUUCGUGGGGGAUAACGUAGGGAAACUUACGCUAAUACCGCAUACGACCUACGGGUGAAAGCAGGGGAUCUUCGGACCUUGCGCGAUUGAAUGAGCCGAUGUCGGAUUAGCUAGUUGGCGGGGUAAAGGCCCACCAAGGCGACGAUCCGUAGCUGGUCUGAGAGGAUGAUCAGCCACACUGGAACUGAGACACGGUCCAGAGUCCUACGGGAGGCAGCAGUGGGGAAUAUUGGACAAUGGGGGCAAGCCUGAUCCAGCCAUACCGCGUGGGUGAAGAAGGCCUUCGGGUUGUAAAGCCCUUUUGUUGGGAAAGAAAAGCAGCAGGUUAAUACCCCGCUGUUCUGACGGUACCCAAAGAAUAAGCACCGGCUAACUUCGUG
rnacentral:rRNA from 1 species